GGAAGAGAGAUUUUAGCUUCAUGUGUCUGCCUUUUCUCACUCCUCAACAAGCUUGUUGUUAUUGAAAGGCUUUGUUAACCUCACAGGCUGAGUUAAACCUGGUUGUAUUCUGUACCAGCCCCACCGGAGGCAACGUGCUGAUAAAGGUUGUCUGAAUUCAUCCCACCUGACUUCCAGGUUUUAGGAUAGGACCCAAAGAUCACUGAACCACCAGUGGAAAGAAACAAGCUCUUCCCAAGAGCGAAUCAGGUUCUAUUCAUCAGUUGCAAGUUCUGUGCCAGGAUGCUGGCUCCUUGUCCUCACAGCUGGGGCAGCUCCCCACAGGCAGCUGGGAGGAGGCCUGGACAGAAGAGUGCAGCCUCUCCUAGGGCCUGCCUUCCUCUGCAGGAAAUCCUGGCUUCCAGGGAGGAAGAGAGCUGCACCAUGCUCCCAGAGAGACUGUGUGAAUUGUGAGGUGCACCACAAAGUUUGGUUGAUGCUUUGGUGGUGAGAUGUAGUUCAUAGAAAUCAGUGUAAUGAUUCCUAAGACCCUUUAUGGCUCCAGACCCAUCUACCAGCAUCUUUUGCAGUUGACCUGGGUGUCAACCCAGACAUGGCAUCGGAUAUGGCCGUGAUGUCAUUCUAACCCAGGCUAGAUAAUCAUGCCCAAAUGUGUGAGGUAUGGGGAAAGGUAACUGAAAUGUUACCUGAAGUGAGUACCACGCAACAAUGAGAAUACAUAGCAUAUUUACUUUGAGGUUUGAAAAUAAAAAAUACUUGCAGCAAGCCAAUUUAGAAUAGCAUUUUUUUACAUCGAUAAAUAGUACAAGAUUUUUGUUGAAAAUAAUUAAGCACUGCAAUUGCACAUUAUCUUUACUGCAUGAAGAGAGAGGUUAGGCAUCUCCAAAGCUCUGGAAGAUUGUUCUGUCAUUAUGUCACAAUUGAUCAGUAUUUAAUUGUUUUGCUUGAGGAUUUUUUGCCUCUUCUCUACAUGAUGAUUUCUUUCGGCACACAAAUCAAAACUAUUUAUCAGCAAAAGUUACUAAUUUCUCUCAAAGAGAUUCCUUCUGAGUUUUCAUGCUGAGACACUGGUCUUGAUUAACUUUCUUCUGUAAUCUAUUGAGCUUCCGGUGGCUGAUUUAAGCAUUAAAUUUAUCCAGUUUAAGUACUGAUUACUGCAGACUAAAAGCUUCAUCCAUAUCAAAGACUUAUCCCCCCCACCCCCACCACCCCAAGGAAGAAAUUUAAAAGCCCGUUAAAAUGCCCUUCCUUUUUCCAAGGAUGUUACUGAAAUAACUUGGUGCUAAGAAUACAUGAGGUUUGUGUUGAGCUAAAAUCUGAAAGCUGGAACUGAGACAGAUGCCCCCAGAUAGUCCUAAAAAUCUUCAACCGGAUAUUCAGGUUUGAAAUCCACUGCAAUCCAAAUACCACCACAGCCUGGGGCACUGAUAUUCAUCAUUCUAGUUCUAAUGAGCGCAAGGGGAGAAGGGAAUCAGCUGUAUUGGAUCUGAAUCCAAAUUCUCCUGAGGUGUCUUUGAAAUUUUGGGGGGAGAUGAGAUGGAAAGGAUGGUAAUGAAGUGAUAGUGAAGUAGCAAAAGUAAGUAAACGAUUAAGAUACGAAGAUAUAGUGACAACAGUAAAGCUGGAAGUGUGGAAAUAGUUUUCAUUUCUGAUACUCUCCCUGUAAAACGUCUUUUUCUAGUUUAUUAUCACAUUUUCUAUAUCUUUAUAGUUAGUAUGUAUCAUUUGGCUACAGAAGUACAUAAAAUAUUUGGAAUUAUUGAAUUCAUUUUUUUUAUGUACGUGACGUGACCAAAAGUGACCAUGGGGUUCUCCAAGGGAGCUUCAGAAGCCCUCACAACAACAGAAGCCUUUCUGAAGACUGCAGCAGAACUGGAGGCCCUUCUGCCAUGCUGUGUCAAGUGCAAUGGAGAUUACUGUACUUUCAGCCACUGAGGUUGGACUUAGAAGCCUAAAGCAUCAAGUUACCAGCCAAGUGAAAAGGCAGUUAUGUACAUAAUACCACAGAGAGACCCUCCUUGCACUCUAAGUUGUUCAGGUUUCCAGCUCUGGUCUGGGAGAUGUUUUGAGAAAAUGAUUGUAUUUGAAACAACAACUGUUGGAGCGGAGGGAGGCUCGGCUGUGCAACUGUUUUCAUCUGGCCGUACAGCAAAGCGUGUGUUCAGUCUUGCAGAAAUCGUAACCUAAAAAACAAAUAAACAACAACAAC
rnacentral:lncRNA from 1 species